UAAAUAAUGAAGAAAACUAUGGACAGAAGUACCACAUUGUUAAUAAUGGCUGAGAAACAGCUCAGAGUGUUGGUUAAGUUCUUUUCUCUGUAUUACUUAUUACAUCUUGUGGAGAGAUGUGACUCAGUACCGUAUGGUUAUUGGAAUUUGUGGACAUAUUAUCGAAUGAGAAGUAAAAUUCAUUUUCUGAUUAGAGAGCUUCUUCUAUCAGCCAUGACAAACGUGAACCGAGUAGUAGUAUUGAAAGAUGAGUACACCGAUGAUGACAGCUACAACGUGGGCGAAAACAUUUACAAAAUACAAACUAAGUUCUCGAGAAUUAUUCGGUUGUAUACUCUAUCGAGUACAAAUAUUUUUGUGUAUGAUAAGCAUAAGCACAUCCUCCAUUUAAGUGAAAUUCAACAUUUGGCUUCCGACAUCGACCACUUGAUUGAGAUAUUGCAGGAGUAUGAGUCGCCCUACCGGGUCAAGAAAUCCCGUUUGAACAACAACUACGCUUUGAUUGCAACACCGCACGCUCCUGCUCCAGGUUUUCCUCACUUCGCUACACCUCCUGAAUUACCAGGGAUGCCGCCUCAAGAGCUGCCGCCACCAGAACUCAUAAAUAAUGACCCUGGUAUCCCACCACACAUUGGUCGCAAGAAACACAACAGAGACAUUUACAACGGGGCAGGAUUCGACUCCGACAUAGAUUCAUAAUAAUAUGUUCCU